AUUGGCUACCGGCAGCUCUGCAACUCUCACAUGGUCACCCACUGAAGUUAAGCAGGGCUGCGCCCGGUCUGUACCUGGAUGGGAGACCACAUGGGAAAGCUAGGUUGCUGUUAGUG
rnacentral:rRNA from 1 species